rnacentral:rRNA from 1 species
CCCGGGCGACCGGCGCACGGGUGAGUAACACGUAUGGAACCUGCCCGCAGCAGGGGGAUAAGCGAAGAAAUUCCGUCUAAUACCGCGUAACACCGCAGAGGGGCAUCCCUCGGCGGUUAAAGAUUCAUCGGCUGCGGAUGGCCAUGCGGCGCAUUAGCUAGUCGGCGGGGUAACGGCCCACCGAGGCGACGAUGCGUAGGGGUUCUGAGAGGAAGGUCCCCCACACUGGUACUGAGACACGGACCAGACUCCUACGGAAGGCAGCAG